rnacentral:rRNA from 1 species
GAUGAACGCUAGCGGCAGGCCUAACACAUGCAAGUCGAGGGAGAAGCCCUUUCGGGGGCAGAAACCGGCGCACGGGUGCGUAACGCGUAUGCAACCUACCUUUCACAGGGGGAUAGCCCGAAGAAAUUUGGAUUAAUACCCCAUAAUAUUAUUGGAUGGCAUCAUUUGAUAAUUAAAACUGCGGUGGUGUAAGAUGGGCAUGCGUCCUAUUAGCUAGUUGGAGUGGUAACGGCACCCCAAGGCUACGAUAGGUAGGGGUCCUGAGAGGGAGAUCCCCCACACUGGUACUGAGACGGGGACCAGACUCCUACGGGAGGCAGCAGUGAGGAAUAUUGGUCAAUGGUCGGAAGACUGAACCAGCCAUGCCGCGUGCAGGAAGAAUGCCUUAUGGGUUGUAAACUGCUUUUAUAUGAGAAGAAUAAGGCGUACGUGUACGUUGAUGACGGUACCAUAUGAAUAAGCAUCGGCUAACUCCGUG